GCCAAAGGCAGAGUGGUGGAACGUCUGAUUGCUUGUCACCUGGGAGGACCCACUAGCUUAAUAGAAGAAGAGAAGAGAAUUUUAUUGGCCAAGUGCGAUUGGACACACAAGGAAUUUGUCUUGGUGCAUAUGCUCUCAGUGUACAUAAAAGAAAAGAUACCUUCAUCAAGGUGGCAUUUACCUCCGGCGAGAUUGGCCAAGAUGUUUCCAAACAACUCACCGAAUUGCUGGAAAUGUAACCACCAACAAGGGACAUACUACCACAUGUGAUGGACAUGUCUCAAAGCAAGAGAUUAUUGGUUAAAAAUUAAAAAUUGGUUAGAGGAAAUGACAGGAGGGAAAAUUGAUAUGAAACCUGAAUUAUUUUUUGGGGGGGGGAUUAUAAAAGAAAAAAAAUGAAUAAAGAAAUUCAAUACCUCAUACUUCACAUAAUUACGGCCGCCAGAAUGUCAUUUGCCCAAAACUGGAAACAAAAAUAUGCUCCAUCAAACACGAUGAUUAUAAAAAAGAUACUAGAGUGUGCAGAAUCAGAGAAGUUAACAAUGGAACUUAAAGAUAGAGAGGAAACGAUUUAUUAUGAAACAUGGAAUAGAUGGUACAAUUGGCUGGAAAAGAAAUCUGAAAUGAAUGUAUAAUGUAUAGUAUAAGAGAAGAUAUUAUAGUGAAAUGAAAUAUUUAAAGUAUAGUAGAUAUGUAUAGAGGACGCUUGGCUCAGGGGCUAGGAUGUUGAGCUUGUCGAUCGGAAGGUUGGCAGCUCAGCGGUUCGAAUCCCUAGUGCUGCCGUGUAACGGGGUGAGCUCCCAUUACUUGUCCCAGCUUCUGCCAACCUAGCAGUUUCGAAAGCACGUAAAAAAUGCAAGUAGAAAAAAUAGGGACCACCUUUGGUGGGAAGGUAACAGCGUACAGUGCGCCUUUGGCGUUGAGUCAUGCCGGCCACAUGACCAUGGAGACAUCUUCGGACAGCGCUGGCUCUUUGGCUUUGAAACGGAGAUGAGCACCGCCCCCUAGAGUCGGCAACGACUAGCACGUAUGUGCGAGGGGAACCUUUACCUUUACCUUUACCUUAGAUAUGUAUAUAAUGUAGUGAUUAUAUGAAUGAAUAAGUAACAAACAAAAUGUAUAUGUAUAUGAAUUGGUUGAAAGUUAAAAUGGAUAUUACUAAA